GAUGAACGCUAGCGGCAGGCUUAACACAUGCAAGUCGAGGGGCAGCGCGGGUAGCAAUACCUGGCGGCGACCGGCAAACGGGUGCGGAACACGUACUGAACCUACCUUGAUCUGGGGCAUAGCCCGAUGAAAAUCGGAUUAACUCCCCAUAAUAUAGAUGAGUGGCAUCACUUGACUAUUAAAAAUUUAUUGGAUCGAGAUGGCAGUGCGUCCCAUUAGCUAGUUGGUAGGGUAACGGCCUACCAAGGCGACGAUGGGUAGCUGGUGUGAGAGCACGACCAGCCACACGGGCACUGAGACACGGGCCCGACUCCUACGGGAGGCAGCAGUGAGGAAUAUUGGUCAAUGGACGCAAGUCUGAACCAGCCAUGCCGCGUGAAGGAUGAAGGCGUUCUGCGUUGUAAACUUCUUUUAUCUAGGAAGAAACCUCCGAUUUCUAUUGGAGUUGACGGUACCAGAGGAAUAAGCACCGGCUAACUCCGUGCC
rnacentral:rRNA from 1 species